GUAGGUGGCAGAGUAUGUCAGUAGUGAAAGCGUGUGGCUCAACCAUAUAUACAUUACUGAAACUGCUCAGCUAGAGAACGAGAGAGGUUAUUGGAAUUCCUAGUGUAGGAGUGAUAUCCGUAGAUAUUAGGAGGAACACCGAUGGCGUAGGCAGAUAACUGGCUCGUUUCUGACACUAAGGCACGAAAGCGUGGGUAGCAAACGGGAUUAGAUACCCCGGUAGUCCACGCUGUAAACGAUGGAUGCUAGCUGUGAGAGGUAUCGACCCCUCUCGUAGCGAAGCUAACGCGUUAAGCAUCCCGCCUGUGGAGUACGGUCGCAAGACUAAAACAUAAAGGAAUUGACGGGGACCCGCACAAGCGGUGGAGCGUGUUGUUUAAUUCGAUGGUAAACGAAGAACCUUACCCAGGCUUGACAUCCUGCGAAUUUCUCCGAAAGGAGAGAGUGCUUUAUUGAGCGCAGUGACAGGUGUUGCAUGGCCGUCGUCAGCUCGUGUCGUGAGAUGUUUGGUUAAGUCCAUCAACGAGCGCAACCCUUAUAGUCUGUUGUAUUUUUCAGGCUAGACUGCCCCGGUAACGGGGAGGAAGGAGGGGAUGAUGUCAGGUCAGUAUUACCCUUACGUCUGGGGCUACAAACACGCUACAAUGGCCGGUACAAAGGGCUGCCAAGUCGCAAGACGGAGCAAAUCCCAUCAAAGCCGGUCUCAGUUCGGAUUGCAAGCUGAAACUCGCCUGCAUGAAGUCGGAAUCGCUAGUAACGGUAGGUCAGCUAUACUACCGUGAAUACGUUCCCAGGGACUUGUACACACCGCCCGUCAAACCAUGAAAGUCACCAAUACCUGACGUGUUGCCUUCGCGCAGCCCUAAGGUAGGGGGGAUGAUUGGGGUU
rnacentral:rRNA from 1 species